UUUAUUUUGGCAGGGUAGAUCUGGUUCGAGGUCUACGACAUGAAUUUUGAAUUGCUUUGAUUGAUUUUUUUAUGGUGUGGGGAUAUGUUCUGUUUUUGGUGAUGCUCGACCCCCUUGGAGAUUCUGGGGCUGGCCCAGAUAAAAUGGCGUAAACGACUGAGGCGAACAUUGGGUACAUAUGAGUUAGUUUAAUAAUUUGCAAAUCAGGGAAAGUGAGUGUAUUUGUGAGACGUUUAUCGGCAGGAUAUGGGCCGUGAGAUGCGAGAGGCAGGGUAGCAACACUGUCUGCAAGUGAUGAUGGCGAGUGUAAGGCAACUUCCGCAACGCAAAAGCAGUCAUGAGCAUCAAACAGCUGUCGUUACCAAAGCAGUUGCUGCUGCAUUCCCUAGCUACAAGAGUGCCUAGAAUUAUGUUACAGCGAGUUGAUGAAAUAUCUCCUGUACUUAAAAAAAGAACGAUAAUUAUGGGCGAAGAAAUGGAUAUUCCGCCAAGAUCCCAGGUUCGAGUAAGUAGUGAAACAACGAAAAAUGACUGUGCAUACAAAAAGAAUAUAAGUGUGGAACAAUAUUCUUGUGAAAAUUCAUCUGCCAAGUACGUUAAUUUAGGGGGUUGUAGAAAUAAGCGUUUGAGAAAAGAUCGCUACGUGUGUAAAGUGUGCACGAAGUCAUUUAAAUGGUCGAUCCUCCUGAACAGACACAUAAAGGAUCACACUGCACCUUAUAUGUGCCCACAGUGUUUGAAAGCAUUCAGUCUGUAUUCUGAUCUCAAGAAUCAUCAGUGCGUACCUGCUUGUAAUUUUUCAUGCGGUGGUUGUAACACAACGUUUGCACACGAGAAUAAUCUACAGAAACAUCAAUUCCUUAAGCAUGUUACAAACAAAACCAAUUCUUGCAAUAUAUAUAAGAAGCUAGUCGGAGAGAAUACGUAGUCAUCUUCACAUUUAUCAGUGCUUGUAUGCCUGCAAUAUUUGUAAGAAAUCAUUCAGUUUGUUGCAUCAACGCAUAAAUAACGGAGAAGGACCCUAGUCCUGUAAUUACUGUAUGAUGACGUUUACCUUAAAGAGAAAUAUGCUAGUGCAUAAUUUGAGUCAGCAUUUAUAAUACAAUAAAGUCCUCAUUAUCCAGACUAUCGAUGGGGAUGAAAUACAAAUAAUGGAUAAUUGAAAAUACAUAUUUUUUGGUACAUUCAUAUUUAUGUGAACUUUUUAUGUUCCUCCUUACAGCAGUACAGAUUUCACUUUCAUCUUCUCUCGCAUCUUCUCCCUUUUUUCACAGCAGCGUUGAUAAUGUCUGUCUGUUAUGUGUUGGAAGUCCGUUUCACAUUCAUCAUUGUAGCCAUUCUUCAACAUCUGUUCAUUGAUGUUUUUAAAACUUAUCAUACCUCUAUAAUUUCAUGAAGUCAUCGUCAUUGGUAAGAAAUCUGAAAAGCUCAGCCCGGUGGUGUCGUUUCAUGGACAUCCUUACCCCACAACAUUUGGCAAAUUCUGUUGCCAGUUCUCCACUCUCAAAUUGUUUAAGAGACUUGAGCUUCUGUUUUACUGUCAGAAAAUUAAUUGUCCUUUGAUUUUCGGCCAGUUUACUUCAGAUCCGCAAUUCUUAAGUUUCAUUUUCACAUGAUGCACAGUACAACAUAAUGAACUUUCUCUAAGACAGUUGAAGCACGCGUAUCAUCCGGUGUCCACCAUCGUGACCAUUGGAAUGGAAGUCUGUACGCCACGACUGAUACAAACCAAAAAAAGAUGUUAAAAACAUUGUUUAUAUGUGUCUGCAUUCAUAUGAAGAAAAACUUGCAUGAAUAAUUUGAAAACUGAAUAAUCUUGUUCACAGUGUACUGACACGUUCUUUUUGGUGGCAAGUUCUCCGGUUUGGCUAGUCGUGUACCACCACAACGCUGUAGUCGUAAGAGUCUGAAAGAAAUAUUUCACUGUACAACAACGGAGGCAUGUUAUUAUUAUUGUUUUAAUUUGUAUGAUUAAACUGCCUUAGCACUGUGGUCCAAUUUUUUAGGAGGAUUUACUAAUACUGCUUCUCUGCAUAGUUUGAAAUAUAUGUCGUGUGAAAACUAUGACAUUUGACGACAUCUCUUCUAUGGCUCUCCGGAACGUAUCCUGUAUUGGUCGAGGGGGAGAGGUCAGACUAAGACAGGUACCCUGGUCCUCCAGGUUGGGGGUUGGUCGCAAGGCUAACAACCUUGCACCGUAAAAAGGAAGAUGUCUCAAAACCUCAAUCAAAGCCUCGGACAGACGGACCUAACAGAGGACCGAAUGGAAGAGGAGAAUUGAGGAGGCCGUGGGCCAUAAAAUAUUCUUGCAGCAAUAAUAUAAGUUGUUUGUGAUGAAACUAUAAACUUUCAUAGGCAUUUAAUGAAUUAAUUAAAAGUGGAAAACAGUACUCUUACAUUGUUGAGAGAUAAGCUGUAUAAAUGAGAGGUAGUAACUCGGACAUAUCAAGAAAGUCACAGAUCUUGGACAUGUAACGUGUAUUAAGAACUUGGCUAAAUGUACGCUUGGAAAAUCGUUCUCGUGAGAUCCUUUCAGAGGCAUAAAAUAUGUUGCAAAGCGAAAUCUAAAUUAUCAUCCUAUGUCCUUAAAGUAUCUUUGGUGAGGUUGUUUCCGAAAACAUUAAUUUUCUUUAAAGGAGUUUGUUCGGUUAGACAUGUUUUAAGUGAAAUACAUUCAUGUAUUUAUGGUCUUACCCUCUUGCACGGAAUGGGUCCUGUAUUACAAAAUCUUUGUGAGGAAAGUGUUAAUGUUUGUAUUAUAAGUUAGCCAACAUGUGCAAGCAACAGAUAUUUUUACAAGAAUUUUAGCCUCUACAGUAGAUGCUUUUCAACUUCAAUGAGUCCAGAUUUUUUCUUCUGUGUCUAACAGUGGUCUCCAGACAUUUUUGGCUGUGCAUCCAUGCUUACUAAAGAAUGUAGCACACACCUCUGGAAUAAAUAAAUAAAUAUUUUUGUGUAA